UCGGAGAUCGUCUAAUGGUAGGACUCGAGGUUCUGGUCCUCGCUAUCGGGGUUCGAAUCCCUGUCUCCGAGCAA
rnacentral:tRNA from 1 species